rnacentral:tRNA from 1 species
GGUGGGUUGGCUCAGUGGUUAGAGCGUAGGUCUCGUAACCGAAAGGUUGCGGGGUCGAAUCCCGCUAGAGGCUG